rnacentral:rRNA from 1 species
GACGAACGCUGGCGGCGCGCUUAACACAUGCAAGUCGAACGGAAAGGCCUGCUUUCCCUUGUGGAUUGCGGGUACUCGAGUGGCGAACGGGUGAGUAACACGUGAGUGAUCUGCCCCCAACUUGGGUAUAAGCCUGGGAAACUGGGUCUAAUUCCCGAUAGGACUGCAGGGUGGUGCCUGUGGUGGAAAACGAUUUUCUAGUGGUUGGGGAUGAGCUCGCGGCCUAUCAGCUUGUUGGUGGGGUAAUGGCCUACCAAGGCGGCGACGGGUAGCCGGCCUGAGAGGGUGGACGGCCACAUUGGGACUGAGAUACGGCCCAGACUCCUACGGGAGGCAGCAGUGGGGAAUAUUGCACAAUGGGCGGAAGCCUGAUGCAGCGGCGCCGCGUGGGGGAUGACGGCCUUCGGGUUGUAAACUCCUUUCGACCGCGAGGAAGCCACCUGGUUGGAAGGGUGGUGACGGUAGUGGUAGAAGAAGCACCGGCUAACUACGUG